UACGGAGGGGGCUAGCGUUGUUCGGAAUUACUGGGCGUAAAGCGCGCGUAGGCGGACCUGCAAGUCGGGGGUGAAAGCCCGAGGCUCAACCUCGGAACUGCCUUCGAUACUGCGGGUCUCGAGUCCGGGAGAGGUGAGUGGAAUUCCUAGUGUAGAGGUGAAAUUCGUAGAUAUUAGGAAGAACACCAGUGGCGAAGGCAGCUCGCUGGGACGUGACUGACGCUGAGACGCGAAAGCGUGGGGAGCAAACAGG
rnacentral:rRNA from 1 species